rnacentral:rRNA from 1 species
UACGGGGGGGGCAAGCGUUGUUCGGAAUUACUGGGCGUAAAGGGCUCGUAGGCGGCCACCGCAAGUCGGUUGUGAAAUCUCUGGGCUUAACCCAGAAAGGUCAACCGAUACUGCGGGGCUAGAGUGCAGAAGGGGCAACUGGAAUUCUCGGUGUAGCGGUGAAAUGCGUAGAUAUCGAGAGGAACACCUGCGGCGAAGGCGGGUUGCUGGGCUGACACUGACGCUGAAGUGCGAAAGCUAGGGGAGCGAACGGG